rnacentral:tRNA from 1 species
GCGCCGAUCGGAUAGCGGCUAUUCCAGGAGACUGUAAAUCUCCCGCCCACUGGGCAUCGGGGGUUCGAGUCCCUCUCGGCGCA